GCAGCAUGGUUGCAAGUGUCGGCCGGGACGGCCCAUGUGAGGGCGGUGGUCAAGACCCCCAACGGCGAGAACAUCACCGCCGGCGGCAUCGACGCCCAGUCCGGCUGCUGGACCAUGCUCAAGGGCGGCAUGACCGCGCAUGCCUAUCACUCCGGACAAGGAGAGGUCUUCUUCGAGAGCGACACCCCCGUGGACAUCUGGGUGGACAGCGUCUCCCUGCAGCCCUUCUCCUUUGAUGAAUGGGAUGCCCACGCCCGCCGGUCUGCCGACAAGGCCCGCCGGAGCACGGUUAAGGUCGUCGCGAGGGGCCCCGACGGGCAGCCAAUGCCGAACACGAACGUCAGCAUCCAGCUCCUCCGCACAGGGUUCCCGUUCGGCAACACGUUGACCAAGGAGAUCCUCAGCAACCCGGCCUACGAGAAGUGGUUCUUCUCGCGCUUCACGGUGGCCACCAUGGAGAACGAGAUGAAGUGGUACAGCACGGAGUGGAACCAGAACCAAGAGGACUACAAAAUCCCGGACGACAUGCUCAAGAUGGCUCAGAAGUACGGCGUCAAGGUGCGCGGGCACAACGUGUUCUGGGACGACCAGAACUCGCAGAUCAAGUGGGUGCGGCCGAUGGGCGUCGACCAGCUCAAGGCGGCGGUGCAGAAGCGGCUCAAGUCGGUGGUGUCGCGCUACGCCGGGAAGGUGAUCCACUGGGACGUGCUCAACGAGAACCUGCACUUCAACUUCUUCGAGACCAAGCUGGGCCCCAACGCGUCGCCCAUGAUCUACCAGCAGGUGGGCCAGAUCGACCACAACGCCAUCCUCUUCAUGAACGAGUUCAACACGCUGGAGCAGCCCAUGGACCCCAACGGCACGCCCACCAAGUACAUCGCCAAGAUGAAGCUCAUCCAGGGCUACCCCGGCAACGGCGGCCUCAAGCUCGGCGUCGGCCUCGAGAGCCACUUCUCCACGCCCAACAUCCCCUACGUCAGGGGCGCCCUCGACACGCUCGCGCAGCUCAAGCUGCCCAUGUGGAUGACCGAGGUCGACGUCGUCAAGGGCCCUAACCAGGUCAAGUACCUGGAGCAGGUGCUCAGGGAAGGCUACGGGCACCCCGGGGUGCAGGGCAUCGUCAUGUGGGCCGCAUGGCACGCCAACGGAUGCUACGUCAUGUGCCUCACCGACAACACCUUCAAGAACCUCCCCGUCGGUGCCCUCGUAGACAAGCUCAUUGCCGAGUGGAAGACGCACGCGACGUCUGCCACCACCGACGCCAAUGGGCUCGUCGAGCUCGACCUCGCCCACGGCGACUAUAAGUUGACGGUGAACCACCCUUCUUCGCUAGCCGCGUCCCACACCAUCACGGUGGAUGCAGCGUCAUCCGAGCACACCGUCAGUUUGAAGGUGUAG
rnacentral:rRNA from 1 species